CCGUCAAUUCCUUUGAGUUUUAAUCUUGCGACCGUACUCCCCAGGCGGUCUACUUCACGCGUUAGCUGCGUUACCAAGUCAAUUAAGACCCGACAACUAGUAGACAUCGUUUAGGGCGUGGACUACCAGGGUAUCUAAUCCUGUUUGCUCCCCACGCUUUCGUGCAUGAGCGUCAGUCUUGACCCAGGGGGCUGCCUUCGCCAUCGGUGUUCCUCCACAUAUCUACGCAUUUCACUGCUACACGUGGAAUUCUACCCCCCUCUGCCAAACUCUAGCCAUGCAGUCACAAAUGCAGUUCCCAGGUUAAGCCCGGGCAUUUCACAUCUGUCUUACAUAACCGCCUGCGCACGCUUUACGCCCAGUAAUUCCGAUUAACGCUUGCACCCUACGUAUUACCGCG
rnacentral:misc_RNA from 1 species